GUCGGGGUAGCUCAGUUGGUAGAGCAGUGGAAUCAUAAACCACAGGUCGCCGGAUCGUUCCCGGCCCCCGACA
rfam:Candidatus Zambryskibacteria bacterium RIFCSPHIGHO2_01_FTLL_46_30 rifcsphigho2_01_scaffold_13503, whole genome shotgun sequence.